rnacentral:rRNA from 1 species
UACGAAGGGGGCUAGCGUUGCUCGGAAUGACUGGGCGUAAAGGGCGCGUAGGCGGUGCGGUAAGUCUGUAGUGAAAUCUCUGGGCUCAACUCAGAGUCUGCUGCAGAAACUGCCGUGCUUGAGGGUUGGAGGGGGGACUGGAAUUCUCGGUGUAGCAGUGAAAUGCGUAGAUAUCGAGAGGAACACCAGUGGCGAAGGCGAGUCCCUGGACAACUCCUGACGCUGAGGCACGAAAGCUAGGGGAGCAAACAGG